rnacentral:lncRNA from 1 species
GCUGGGGUCCUCUUCCACGCUGUAGAAGCUUUGUUCUUUCGCUGUUUGCAAUAAAUAUUGCAACUGCUUACUCUUUGGGUCCACACUGCCUUUAAGAGCUGUAACACUCACUGUGAAGGUCUGCAGCUUCGUUCUUGAAGCCCGCGAGACCAUGAGCCCACUGGGAGGAACAAACAACUCCAGAUGCGCUGCCUUAAGAGCUGUAACGCUCACCGCAAAGGUCUGCAGCUUCACUCCUGAGCCAGCCAGACCACGAACCCCACCAGAAGGAAGAAACUCCGAACACAUCUGAACAUCAGAAGGAACAAACUCUGGACACGCCGCCUUUAAGAACUGUAACACUCACCGCGAGGGUCUGCGGCUUCAUUCUUAAAGUCAGUGAGACCAAGAACCCACCAAUUCCGGACACAAUAGGAGUGAGAUUGGGCUAUGUGUCCUUUAUCUUCUAGUACUCUAGGUAAGGCUUCUUCACAUUUUGAACAGGGAGCUCAAAAAUGUAAAGAGAAGACAAGCCUUAACAGACAACUAUUUUUCAGCCCCUCUUUCCGAGACAUUUGGUAACGUUCCAGUAACAAAAUGAAAUCACAUGCCAGAACCCAGAAUUAGAAGAGGACACCACACAAAAUUACAUGGCAAGGGUAUGAAUAAGUUAAUUAUUUGUGGCCAUAUUUCAACGGCAACGUGAUAUGGUACAAAGAAAAGUUGGAAUUGUAACAG